GCAGCUGAUUCCGGGGUGGAGGCACAGGCACUCCUCACUCUUGCUGAUCUCCAGAUCCUAAUCCUCACUCACCCAAAAAGCUUUGCAGUCAUUGCAGGGUAGGAACCUUGUUACAGGUUCAUUUACCAGCUCGUUCGCUAACUCACUAAUUCUCACGCAGACCAGGUCUGAGAACCAUUUCUUGAUGCCUUUCUGCCAACGCAAGGGCACUCGGAUGCCAAGAACGCCGAGGGCCGUGGUCUUUGCCCAAGUUUGAUGCAGCUGGGGAUGCGUCAGCCUGCGGAGCCCACCCUGACCCGGGGUCACUGUCACCUUCUCAGACCGAACUCUCUCCUUGUCCAGCUCCCCUCCCGCUUCCCUGCAGCUGAGCAGUACUGCCCAAAAAGUCGCUUAACCACUUCCCGAGAGGUCGACAUCCCGCCACACCAUCUCGCUUCACCACCUCCCUCCCGGCCGCCUUUUCUCAGCCUGGAGCAGAGCCAGAGUGGGCUGCUGCUGGGACAGCAGGCCAGAGAGGAGUGCUGGUAGAAGUGGAGCGUGCCAGCAGCCAAGCAACUUGACCUGCUGGCAGCAAGAUGGAGGAGCUGCACCUAGGAAGAUAAGGGAGGGAGCAAUGAUCUGUCUGGAGAAGGGGGAUUUCAGUGCAGCUCUAAGCACAGAUGCACUGGCAGCUCAAAAUCCUGGAAGUAUUUCUUUAUGCACCAAGUGACAGACCUCUGUGGAGCCUGCACACAGCUCUGCCAGCAACAGAGAAGUAAAUUGGCUGUAUUGGUCUAUUACCCACUUACUGCUGCUGAGAAAUACGUGUCUGAGCAGCUGUCAAGGCAAAGCUGUGUGAAUCAUUAAAACGGCUUCUCAGCUCACCACUGAUAUGUCCCCAUGAAGAUCAGGGCUUGUGAAAGUGAGGCAAUUAUGUAUUAUGUAAACCAAGAUUCUUCAAGGCGGGAAAGAAGAGACUGAGAGAGAGUUUGGUGGAGCUCUAUAAACUCAAAUGGGCCAUGGA